UGCGGACUUGGAUUUGGGCGGUCCAAGGGCUCCGAACGAACCACAUAGCCUGUGCUUUCGUAUCGUAAUUUGGGAAUGAUGAUUGAUCCCCGGUGAACAAUUGAGAGAGCUUCUGCCAUGGCUAAUUCUUCUUCUCGUCUGAAGGAUUUCUCUUUCACGUCGGAAGGAAACACCGCAACAGUUGUCAUUUCAGUGUUGCUGCAGUUUGAGUUGUUUGAAAAAAAUCUGGAGUAGCUCUGCUGAACAAUAUGUGUUGGAAUCAUAGAGGUGGCCAUGUUUAUCAUACAUGAUACAACUUUUAACUCAAAGAUACGCAGUAUAGUGGUUAUACGGAGAACAAACUGUGUGCAAUAUUAAACAUUAGUGCUCCAACAGUUCUGGCGCACAGACGCUAUAAUCAUUUGAAUCGGCAUAAAGUUUCCACCUUUUGCUGUCACACAUCUCGAUUGAUUCCUCUUUUUGGGUGGCAUUGAUGAAUACACAACUGAAAAUGGGAAAGAUUCACUGAACUGAUUGUGGCUCGUUGGAAAAAUGAAGAAUAAAUAUGUCACUGAAGGUAAAUUGAGCAGUUGACGGACGUGAAGAAAGAAGGGGUCUGAGAAUGUAGCAAACGUUAUCUAUUUUUGGACCACUUUUAGGUGCCUUUUCUCCUUUUAAAUACAGUUAAUUCUUAUCACCUCAUCAUAAGUUUGGGUUGAGCCCUUUAUGUUUCAGUCUCACUAAAUAUUAUUCUUUUCUUUCUUAACCAAACUGUCAAUAAAUCAUGUCUAGAUAAUCAACAUGCCCCUGUUGUUUGUGAAAGAACAUUGAAUCAUGAUGCCACUGUUAAUAGAUUGAACCUUCCCGCAUUUUGCUGAGUUCCUCCUUGAGUGUUAUGUGCAUCCAUUGAUUUCAGGGCCACUAGAACUUCCCAGUGUUAUUUUUCCUUAGAUUUAGCUUUAUCUUAUAUUUAUUGUGUAGAGAUUAUUUCCCAUUUCCCUUUGCUUUCAGUCUUUGUAGGUCUAGUGGAAGUUAGCCCAUCGGUAUGGUUUAUCAGGUUGUAAGAGACGCCAUUCAAAUAUUUUACAAAAAUUAUAUUCAUGGAAGAACAUAAUCUGCAACUUGUUUACAAAAUCAUUAUGUACACUUUUUUUACCUCAAGCUUCUUUUCCUAAUUGCCUUCUACAAUUACAAGUAAUUUAAAUAAUUUUGAAUAUGACUCUUUGGUGGGGGGAAAUAACUGUGAGCUAGCUCUGCAGCCAUUUCAUUAGACUUACAAUAUAUGUGAAGGCAUACCAAUACGAUAGCUGUCGAUCUUUCCCCCCCCCCCCCAUUUGCACAGGGCAGUUGAUGGAGUAUGAUGACUAUCAAUUUCCAUCCUCAGGGCUAAGCCGCUAAGGUACCUCCAUGCAUGCAAUAGGAGCCAUUUCCUUUUGUAAAAUGAAUAGUGCUAGUGUCAAGAGAAGGGUACUGUCUUGUGAAAUAUUCUUUGGCCGGGAGCAAGAAUUGCCAAAGGGUCAUAAGCAUAUUUCCUCUGGACAAAAGCCUGCCACUGUGGGCCAAAGUGAUCGUUUCCUGUGGAAGAAGGCACUGCAGAGGAAAGGAAGGCCACUAAGUAGAAGACAUCUUCCUCUGGAAUAACAACAGAAGUUCUGUUGUCCCACCUGUAACAAAGUCAAUAAUAAGUGCUGGUUCCAGUGAUAUUCUUGCCCGUGUAAUGAUGCCAAACUGACUGAGUCCUCCAAGAACACUGUGAAAGAGGAACUUUCUUUAAAGGGAGCACCAACGGAGUGAAACCCAGAGAAGUUGCACAGCAGAUGAUCUAAUGUGCUCAUAAGCUGAUGGACGUUACUUAUCUGGGGGCCGUGGCGAAAUGCUUGUCCACUGAUCCCAGCAUUGGACAAAGUUCCACCCACGGUUAAAUGUAAAUAAUCAGUCCAAGAUUUUGGUGCUAGCCCAUAUUUCAGGCUCUCAUGCAGG